GAAUAUGGAAGGUACUUGACCGCAUCAGAGGGAUUUGGAAGCAGGCCUUAAAAAGCUUCUGCUUUUUAAUAUGGUGCUUCUCCAGGUGUGAUCUGGGGAGCUCCGGUCAUCCUCCAGCACUUUCAAGGGGUCUUGGGGGUCAAAAAUCUUAUCAAUAUGGAGACGUUACUGGCCUUUUUCACUCUACUUUCACAAAUGCAUUGUAGAGUUUUCCAGAGGUGGUGUGGCGUGUGAGAUAAGAACGGACUGGAUACAGAAGCAGAUGGGGGCUCCAGCGGACCCCUAUCAAGCCAGACCCUAAAGAGAUUUUUAGAAUACUAUGCAGUCCAGAUUUUCCAUGAUGCCACAAAGCAUGGCAAAUUCGAGUGCAACCUGGAAGCCUGCACGAGACUGCCCAUGAUGUACAUUGACGACUGCCUCAGAGCCACCCUGGAGGUCAUGGAGGCCCCAGCUGAGUCCCUUUCCAUGAGGACCUACAAUGUCAGCGCCAUGAGCUUCACACCCGAGGAGCUGGCCCAGGAGGUCCUCAAGCACGUGCCGGAAUUCCAGAUCACAUACAACGUGGAUGCCGUUCGCCAGGCCAUAGCGGAUGGUUGGCCGAUGAACUUUGAUGACAGCAAUGCUCGGAAGGACUGGGGGUGGAAACACGACUUUGAUCUUCCAGAGUUGGUGACUGCCAUGUUGAACUUCCAUGGUUCUGAAAGCAGAGUUGCCCAAGCCAACUGAAAGAAUCUGGAAGAGGAGCUCCUGUGUCCUGGUCCACUGUCAAGGGAGAACUGUCACAACUCCAAGGUUAUAGACUCCA
ensembl:lncRNA TDH L-threonine dehydrogenase (pseudogene)